UUUCAGCUCCCGCCUUAGCAUACACUUAUACAUCCAAGACCUUUGGAUUGAAAACCUGUUAGCGCUUUUCUAAGACUUAGUUUGGUAUUGCGGUUUAACUAAUCUUAUUAUAUAAAAUGGAGUUGGGGUAAAAAUAUAUAAGAAUAUAUUCCUGCAUUCUCCGAUAGGCUCACAGAAAAUAUAUCAUAACCGACUAAUCGCGAUAUACGGUACAUAAUAUUAUGUAUGAAAAUAAACAGAAUAUUUUUCAUCGUACUUCCUCACCGCACGUAACGCAAUCUUUCCAUAAUUCCAAACGAAAUCUAACUUAGAUCUUAUAUAUAUAUAUAUAAAUUAUGUUUC
rnacentral:lncRNA from 1 species